AUGAACGCUAGCUACAGGCUUAACACAUGCAAGUCGAGGGGCAUCAGGAAGAAAGCUUGCUUUCUUUGCUGGCGACCGGCGCACGGGUGAGUAACACGUAUCCAACCUGCCCUUUACUCGGGGAUAGCCUUUCGAAAGAAAGAUUAAUACCCGAUGGCAUAAUGAUUCCGCAUGGUUUCAUUAUUAAAGGAUUCCGGUAAAGGAUGGGGAUGCGUUCCAUUAGGUUGUUGGUGAGGUAACGGCUCACCAAGCCUUCGAUGGAUAGGGGUUCUGAGAGGAAGGUCCCCCACAUUGGAACUGAGACACGGUCCAAACUCCUACGGGAGGCAGCAGUGAGGAAUAUUGGUCAAUGGGCGGUAGCCUGAACCAGCCAAGUAGCGUGAAGGAUGAAGGCUCUAUGGGUCGUAAACUUCUUUUAUAUAAGAAUAAAGUGCAGUAUGUAUACUGUUUUGUAUGUAUUAUAUGAAUAAGGAUCGGCUAACUCCGUGCCAGCAGCCGCGGUAAUACGGAGGAUCCGAGCGUUAUCCGGAUUUAUUGGGUUUAAAGGGAGCGUAGGUGGACUGGUAAGUCAGUUGUGAAAGUUUGCGGCUCAACCGUAAAAUUGCAGUUGAUACUGUCAGUCUUGAGUACAGUAGAGGUGGGCGGAAUUCGUGGUGUAGCGGUGAAAUGCUUAGAUAUCACGAAGAACUCCGAUUGCGAAGGCAGCUCACUGGAGCGCAACUGACGCUGAAGCUCGAAAGUGCGGGUAUCGAACAGGAUUAGAUACCCUGGUAGUCCACACUGUAAACGAUGAAUACUAGGUGUGCGGGGACUGACCCCCUGCGUGCCGCAGUAAACACAAUAAGUAUUCCACCUGGGGAGUACGCCGGCAACGGUGAAACUCAAAGGAAUUGACGGGGGCCCGCACAAGCGGAGGAACAUGUGGUUUAAUUCGAUGAUACGCGAGGAACCUUACCCGGGCUUAAAUUGCAGUGGAAUGAUGUGGAAACAUGUCAGUGAGCAAUCACCGCUGUGAAGGUGCUGCAUGGUUGUCGUCAGCUCGUGCCGUGAGGUGUCGGCUUAAGUGCCAUAACGAGCGCAACCCUUAUCUUCAGUUACUAACAGGUCAUGCUGAGGACUCUGGAGAGACUGCCGUCGUAAGAUGUGAGGAAGGUGGGGAUGACGUCAAAUCAGCACGGCCCUUACGUCCGGGGCUACACACGUGUUACAAUGGGGGGUACAGAAGGCAGCUAGCGGGUGACCGUAUGCUAAUCCCAAAAUCCUCUCUCAGUUCGGAUCGAAGUCUGCAACCCGACUUCGUGAAGCUGGAUUCGCUAGUAAUCGCGCAUCAGCCACGGCGCGGUGAAUACGUUCCCGGGCCUUGUACACACCGCCCGUCAAGCCAUGGGAGCCGGGGGUACCUGAAGUACGUAACCGCAAGGAUCGUCCUAGGGUAAAACUGGUGACUGGGGCU
rnacentral:rRNA from 1 species